rnacentral:rRNA from 1 species
CGUAGGGUGCAGGCGUUAAUCGGAAUUACUGGGCGUAAAGCGUGCGCAGGCGGUUUCUUAAGUCAGAUGUGAAAGCCCCGGGCUUAACCUGGGAACUGCGUUUGGAACUGGGAGACUUGAGUGUGGCAGAGGGGGGUGGAAUUCCACGUGUAGCAGUGAAAUGCGUAGAUAUGUGGAGGAACACCGAUGGCGAAGGCAGCCCCCUGGGUUAACACUGACGCUCAUGCACGAAAGCGUGGGGAGCAAACAGGAUUAGAUACCCUGGUAGUCCACGCCCUAAACUAUGUCAACUGGUUGUCGGGGGAUUAACUCCCUUGGUAACGAAGCUAACGCGUGAAGUUGACCGCCUGGGGAGUACGGCCGCAAGGUUA